AUGAACGCUAGCGACAGGCUUAACACAUGCAAGUCGAGGGGCAGCAUGAUUUGUAGCAAUACAGAUUGAUGGCGACCGGCGCACGGGUGAGUAACGCGUAUGCAACUUACCUAUCAGAGGGGGAUAGCCCGGCGAAAGUCGGAUUAAUACCCCAUAAAACAGGGGUCCCGCAUGGGAAUAUUUGUUAAAGAUUCAUCGCUGAUAGAUAGGCAUGCGUUCCAUUAGGCAGUUGGCGGGGUAACGGCCCACCAAACCGACGAUGGAUAGGGGUUCUGAGAGGAGGGUCCCCCACAUUGGUACUGAGACACGGACCAAACUCCUACGGGAGGCAGCAGUGAGGAAUAUUGGUCAAUGGCCGAGAGGCUGAACCAGCCAAGUCGCGUGAAGGAAGAAGGAUCUAUGGUUUGUAAACUUCUUUUAUAGGGGAAUAAAGUGGAGGACGUGUCCUUUUUUGUAUGUACCCUAUGAAUAAGCAUCGGCUAACUCCGUGCCAGCAGCCGCGGUAAUACGGAGGAUGCGAGCGUUAUCCGGAUUUAUUGGGUUUAAAGGGUGCGUAGGUGGUGAUUUAAGUCAGCGGUGAAAGUUUGUGGCUCAACCAUAAAAUUGCCGUUGAAACUGGGUUACUUGAGUGUGUUUGAGGUAGGCGGAAUGCGUGGUGUAGCGGUGAAAUGCAUAGAUAUCACGCAGAACUCCGAUUGCGAAGGCAGCUUACUAAACCAUAACUGACACUGAAGCACGAAAGCGUGGGGAUCAAACAGGAUUAGAUACCCUGGUAGUCCACGCCGUAAACGAUGAAUACUAGGUGUCGGGGAGCAUGGCUCUUCGGUGCCGUCGCAAACGCAGUAAGUAUUCCACCUGGGGAGUACGCCGGCAACGGUGAAACUCAAAGGAAUUGACGGGGGCCCGCACAAGCGGAGGAACAUGUGGUUUAAUUCGAUGAUACGCGAGGAACCUUACCCGGGUUUGAACGUAGUCUGACCGGAGUGGAAACACUCCUUCUAGCAAUAGCAGAUUACGAGGUGCUGCAUGGUUGUCGUCAGCUCGUGCCGUGAGGUGUCGGCUUAAGUGCCAUAACGAGCGCAACCCUUAUCACUAGUUACUAACAGGUGAAGCUGAGGACUCUGGUGAGACUGCCAGCGUAAGCUGUGAGGAAGGUGGGGAUGACGUCAAAUCAGCACGGCCCUUACAUCCGGGGCGACACACGUGUUACAAUGGCAUGGACAAAGGGCAGCUACCUGGUGACAGGAUGCUAAUCUCCAAACCAUGUCUCAGUUCGGAUCGGAGUCUGCAACUCGACUCCGUGAAGCUGGAUUCGCUAGUAAUCGCGCAUCAGCCAUGGCGCGGUGAAUACGUUCCCGGGCCUUGUACACACCGCCCGUCAAGCCAUGGGAGCCGGGGGUACCUGAAGUCCGUAACCGCAAGGAUCGGCCUAGGGUAAAACUGGUGACUGGGGCU
rnacentral:rRNA from 1 species